GUCCCUGUAGCGCAGUGGAUAGCGCGUUGGACUUCUAAUCAAGUUCGGUUCCAAUCCGGCGGGAUGAGGUUUUCUGAAAUAGAAUGUAUUGGUGAUUAGUGUUUUACUAUUAAAGGGCUCGGGUUCUAAUCCCGGCAGGGAUG